GGGGCAGCUUCUGGGGUAGGUGAGAGGGAGGCCAUAUCUGGGACAGGUGAAACUGGGGCAGCUUCUGGGGCAGGUGAGAGGGAGGCCAUAUCAGGGACAGGUGAAGCUGGGGCAGCCUCUGGGGCAGGUGAGAGGGAGGCCAUAUCAGGGACAGGUGAAAUUGGGGCAGGUGAGAGGGAGGCCAUAUCAGGGACAGGUGAAGCUGGGGCAGCCUCUGGGGCAGGUGAAAUGAGUC